UGGGGAAUUGUUCGCAAUGGGCGCAAGCCUGAUCCAGCCAUGCCGCGUGAGUGAUGAAGGCCCUAGGGUUGUAAAACUCUUUCGUGGGGGACGAUAAUGACGGUACCCCAAGAAGAAGCUCCGGCUAACUUCGUGCCAGCAGCCGCGGUAAUACGAAGGGGGCUAGCGUUGUUCGGAUUUACUGGGCGUAAAGCGCGUGUAGGCGGGCUGGAAAGUUGGGGGUGAAAUCCCGAGGCUCAACCUCGGAACUGCCUCCAAAACUUCCAGCCUGGACUCAAGUAGAGGCAAGUGGAAUUGCGAGUGUAGAGGUGAAAUUCGUAGAUAUUCGCAGGAACACCAGUGGCGAAGGCGACUUGCUGGACUUGUAGUGACGCUGAGACGCGAAAGCGUGGGGAG
rnacentral:rRNA from 1 species